rnacentral:rRNA from 1 species
UACGGAGGGUGCAAGCGUUAUCCGGAUUCACUGGGUUUAAAGGGUGCGUAGGUGGGAAUGUAAGUCAGUGGUGAAAUCUCCGUGCUUAACUCGGAACGGUCAAGUGAUACUGUCGGACUAGAGUACAGAAGGGGCAACUGGAAUUCUCGGUGUAGCGGUGAAAUGCGUAGAUAUCGAGAGGAACACCUGCGGCGAAGGCGGGUUGCUGGGCUGAUACUGACGCUGAGGCGCGAAAGCCAGGGGAGCGAACGGG